AACGAACGCUGGCGGCGUGCCUAACACAUGCAAGUCGAACGGGAUUAGGGGCUUGCUCCUAAUCUAGUGGCGCACGGGUGAGUAACGCGUAGAUAAUCUGCCUGAUGAUCCGGGAUAACACUUCGAAAGAGGUGCUAAUACCGGAUAAGCCCACGGGUUCUUUGGAAUCUGCGGGAAAAGGGGGGGACCUUCGGGCCUUCUGUCAUCAGAUGAGUCUGCGUACCAUUAGCUAGUUGGUAGGGUAAAGGCCUACCAAGGCGACGAUGGUUAGCUGGUCUGAGAGGAUGAUCAGCCACACUGGAACUGAGACACGGUCCAGACUCCUACGGGAGGCAGCAGUGGGGAAUUUUGCGCAAUGGGCGAGAGCCUGAUCCAGCAAUGCCGCGUGCAGGAAGAAGGCCUUUGGGUUGUAAACCGCUGUCAGUGGGGAGGAAAUAUCAGAGGGAACACUCUCUGGUUUGACCUAUCCGCAGAGGAAGGACGGGCUAAGUUCGUGCCGGCAGCAGCCGCGGUAA
rnacentral:rRNA from 1 species